rnacentral:rRNA from 1 species
UACGUAGGGUGCGAGCGUUGUCCGGAUUACUGGGCGUAAAGAGCUCGUAGGUGGUUUGUCGCGUUGUCCGUGAAAUUCCCUGGCUUAACUGGGGGCGUGCGGGCGAUACGGGCAGACUGGAGUACUGCAGGGGAGACUGGAAUUCCUGGUGGUAGCGGUGGAAUGCGCAGAUAUCAGGAGGAACACCGGUGGCGAAGGCGG